AAGUCUGAAUUAUAAGUCGGCUCUGGUGGGGAGCAGCCACUAGAGGUAACGGGGAAAGUUUGGUGCAAGUCCAACGCUGUCCCGCAACUGUGAAGGAGUAUUUCACUCGUACUCCCAGCCAGGAUGCCCGCCGAGACUUUUCAUACCCU
rnacentral:ncRNA from 2 species